AGACCCCAAGUCAGGUGGGAUCACCCGCUGAGUUUAAGCAUAUCAAUAAGCGGAGGAGAAGAAACUAACAAGGAUUCCCCUAGUAACGGCGAGCGAACCGGGACAAGUCCAGUUUGAAAAUCGGAGGGCCUUGCGCUCCGA
rnacentral:rRNA from 2 species